UCACCAUUACUUAUCAUGGCAGGUGGAUACUCUCUUAUCGUAGCGAUAAAGGAACGCAGAGUUAGAACUGUGGACUGUCUGUAUAUAAGACAACACACACACACGUCUCAGAUCACUCAUCCACAGGCAUCUACAGGUGAACGAGUUCCACAGGUGACUGCUGAGGAGACCAGACAUCACAUCAUGAAGUGGGCUAUCGUUCUGUGUGCCGUGGUGGCACUCUCCGAAUGCAUCAUCCAGGUGCCGCUGAUCAAGGGGAAGAGUGCCAGGGAGAGCCUGGAGGAGCAGGGUCUGUGGAAUGAGUACAGAGGGAAGUUCCCUUUCAACCCCACCAGGUUUGACGACCAGAGCCUAUAUGUCUCCAGCGAGCAGAUGACCAACGACGCUGAUUUGGCGUACUUUGGAGUGAUCUCCAUUGGAACUCCACCUCAGUCCUUCACUGUCAUCUUUGACACUGGAUCAUCCAACCUGUGGAUUCCCUCCGUCUACUGCAGCAGCGCAGCUUGCGCCAACCACAACAGGUUCAACCCCGGUUUGUCCUCUACCUUCAAGAAUGCUGGGAAGAGCCUGUCCAUCCAAUACGGUACUGGCAGUAUGACUGGCUUCGAGGGCUUUGACACCGUUGUGGUGGGUGGGAUCCCUGUGAAGAACCAGAUCUUUGGGCUGAGUCAAUCGGAGGCUCCCUUCAUGGCUCAUAUGAAGGCUGAUGGUAUCCUGUCUGGCUUACCCCCGCCUGGCUUACCCCCGCCUGGCUGCCUCUCAGGCCACACCAGUCUUUGACAACAUGAUGACCCAGCAUCUGGUCAACCAGGACAUGUUCUCUGUCUACCUGACUCGUAACUCUGCGGUAGGUAGCAUGGUGACCUUCGGAGGCGUUGACACCAACCACUACUACGGCCAGAUCGCAUGGAUCCCCCUGUCCUCUGAGAUGUACUGGCAGAUCACAGUCGACAGUGUGACUGUGAACGGCCAGAUUGUGGCCUGUAACGGCGGCUGCCAGGCUAUCGUGGACACCGGUACCUCUAAUAUUGUGGGACCUCAGGCCGACAUCUCCAGCAUGGCCCGUGCUGUGGGAGCCUACUCCGCCAACGGUGACAAUGUGGUGAACUGUAACAACAUCAACAACAUGCCAUCGAUGGUCUUCCACAUCCACGGACAGGCCUUCACUCUCCCAGCCUCCACCUACGUCCGCCAGUCUACCUACUAUGGCUGCCGUACCGGUCUCUCGUCUAGUAGCUCCGACCUGUGGAUUCUGGGUGACAUCUUCAUCCGACAGUACUAUUCCAUCUUCAGCAGAGCCCAGAACAUGGUGGGUCUGGCCCUGGCUAGAUAAUCCAACACAGAUCAACAAUGGAUCCCGUAACGCCAUAUGAACAACCAAAUGAGGGUGUCUCUCCAGUGCAAUCGUAUCUAUUCUAAAGCUAAUUUGAGUAGUUUGUGAUAGGAAGAGAUACUGCUCUAUGUCUAGAAUUGUUAUUAGUUCAUUCAAAAUAUUAAAAAGGUUUUGGCAUGAUAAA